rnacentral:rRNA from 1 species
CCUACGGGAGGCAGCAGUGGGGAAUAUUGCACAAUGGGGGGAACCCUGAUGCAGCGACGCCGCGUGAGUGAAGAAGUAUUUCGGUAUGUAAAGCUCUAUCAGCAGGGAAGAAAAUGACGGUACCUGACUAAGAAGCCCCGGCUAACUACGUGCCAGCAGCCGCGGUAAUCCGUAGGGGGAAAGCGUUAUCCGGAUUUACUGGGUGUAAAGGGAGCGCAGACGGCUGUGCAAGUCUGGAGUGAAAGGCGGGGGCCCAACCCCCGGACUGCUCUGGAAACUGUAAAGCUGGAGUGCAGGAGAGGUAAGCGGAAUUCCUAGUGUAGCGGUGAAAUGCGUAGAUAUUAGGAGGAACACCAGUGGCGAAGGCGGCUUACUGGACUGCAACUGACGUUGAGGCUCGAAAGCGUGGGGAGCAAACAGGAUUAGAUACCCCGGUAGUC